GGGCGUAUAGCUCAGUUGGUUAGAGCGCACCCCUGAUAAGGGUGAGGUCGCUAGUUCAAAUCUAGCUACGCCCACCA
rnacentral:tRNA from 1 species